rnacentral:rRNA from 1 species
GACGAACGCUGGCGGCGCGCCUAACACAUGCAAGUCGAACGAGCGCGAGAGAUCUUGCUUUCUCAAGCUAGUUGCGAACUGGUGAGUUACGCUUGAGGUACCUGCCUCACCGCGGGGGACAACAUUUUGACACGUCUUCUAAUACCGCAUAAGCCCACAGGUCUUCAUCUACCCGAGGGAUAAGUUGCAAUCCGCUUUGAGAUGGCCUCUCGUCCGAUUAGCUAGUUGGUGUGGUAACGGCCCACCAAGGCCACGAUCGGUAGCCGGACUGAGAGGAUGAACGGCCACAUUGGGACUGAGACACGGCCCAGACUCCUACGGGAAGCAGCAGUGGGGAAUAUUGGACAAUGGGGGAAAGCCUGAUGCAGCGACGCCGCGUGGAGGAAGAAGGUCUUAGGAUUGUAAAGUCCUGUUGUUGAGGAAGAUAAUGACGGUACUCAAAAAAGAAGUUACGGCUAACUACGUG